GGUUGUAUAGUGUAGCGGUUAGCACGCGAGAUUUUGAUCAUGUCCUCAAAAGCUUCUCGAGUCCUGGGUUCGAGCCCCAGUACGACCU
rnacentral:tRNA from 1 species